rnacentral:rRNA from 1 species
UACGGGGGGAGCAAGCGUUGUUCGGAUUUACUGGGCGUAAAGGGCGCGUAGGCGGUCGUGACAAGUCACUUGUGAAAUCUCCGGGCUUAACUCGGAACGGUCAAGUGAUACUGUCGGACUAGAGUACAGAAGGGGCAACUGGAAUUCUCGGUGUAGCGGUGAAAUGCGUAGAUAUCGAGAGGAACACCUGCGGCGAAGGCGGGUUGCUGGGCUGAUACUGACGCUGAGGAGCGAAAGCAUGGGUAGCGAACAGG